rnacentral:rRNA from 1 species
GAUGAACGCUAGCGGCAGGCUUAAUACAUGCAAGUCGUACGGGAUCCGAGGUAGCAAUACUUUGGUGAGAGUGGCGCACGGGUGCGUAACACGUAUGCAACCUACCUUUAACCGGGACACAACCUUGAGAAAUUGAGGCUAAUAUCCCAUAACACUGCGAGAUGGCAUCAUUUUGCAGUUAAAACUCCGGUGGUUAUAGAUGGGCAUGCGCGACAUUAGCUAGUUGGUGAGGUAACGGCCCACCAAGGCUACGAUGUCUAGGGGUUCUGAGAGGAUUAUCCCCCACACUGGUACUGAGACACGGACCAGACUCCUACGGGAGGCAGC